CAUCAGCCCCCAAACAUAUAUCACUCACAGAGCAGCUCCUUCUAUGAGAGAGCCCGUUGACUGAGCUGCAGCCACCACCACCCCAGUUAUAUGAAGAGAAAAGCAUGGAAUCCCCACUUGGACUUGAGGCUAAAUCUUGCUGUUGCUGUUGCUGCUGCUGUUGGUAAUAAACAUCAGGAUUCUUAGGCCCCAAGGUUGGUGACCCAUCAUUCAAGAAAGAAAGCUGGUCCUGUAGUUGAAACUCAU
rnacentral:lncRNA from 1 species